rfam:Ricinus communis cultivar Hale ctg_1100012347911, whole genome shotgun sequence.
UCCGCUCCGGUUCACGUCCGCACACCCGUGCGACGACCCGGCGC